GAGGUUUUACUCUCUACUACUAGAAACGACUGGGAAAUCUAAACUUGAGAAUCGGAAUCCGCGAUUUUCUGAGGGCCACACUUCUGGUUAUGUUGCGCAAUACCAUCUCAAUGUUGAAACUCUGUCACCGGCGCUUACUGCAACGUAAAUGGCUUUGACCCAAGCCCAUAUAGCGCCAUUCGUCUUAUCUUUACCCGUUGCUCUAAAAGGCUGUGGUGUGUACAGUAUUUAAUUCCCAAUGAUCACCUUGAUCUUUGAAAAUAAAAAAAACUAUGAUCUUCGUGUGUUUGCAGGAACAAAGGACUAAUACACUAUGUCAAGAAUUUUGCACAUUCACACAAUUGUUGCACCAUCAAACUAUUGAGUCUCAUUACGUACUUCUGUUGCUGCACCAUCUGCGGUUCAUGUUUGUUCUGUGCAUACCAAAAUUCUGGCUUCCAGGAGCACCGAAGAAUGUACUUAAUUUUUGUCUGGGCUAUGUGUUCAUUGAGUGUAAAUGCCUCUAUGUUCAUGGCUAUGGAUCAGUCCCUGCAAAAUCAGCAAAUGUGUGAUAUUUUGUUAUUAUUUCUGUUCUUGCUGAGCAUAUAAAUGAGUGUGAUCGUCAUUUCUGUUGUCAGGAAGAUGGCCCAAAUGCAGUGGUAAGAGUUGAGGUUGCUGCUGACAACAUGUAGCGAAAAAAGGGCACCAAUAUAUACAUAUUGUGAGCUUGCUGAUAAAUUGUCGGACUUGCUUAAUCAUCCAUAUCAACCAGUAUUUUAAAUGUUUAUUUGAUGUGGAUGCAGCAUAGAGUAGUGUUCUCCUUUUGCUAUUGCUUUUAAAUUCAAUGUUCAGUGCAAUAAAACAGUAUGUCUCCUGCUGACUUUUUCAAAAUUGAAGCUAACUGGUGUUGAUGUUGUGCAACGUCGAAAGUUAGAAUCUUUGAAAUAAAUGGACAAAGUAGUUUCUUCUGUAUAUUAGAUCGGACAAUCCGUAUAUACUAGAAGUACAUUGUUGAAUCUCAAAUCAAGAGGACGGUAUCUAACUGGCCUUUCAUCUAUUUUUCUUUUUAAGGAACCGGAAAGUUUAGCAAAGUCAGUACAAUGGGCAAGAGAUCAGUUAAUUUGUUAUUCUUGUUGCUAAUAAAGAAAUUUUUGGGACAAUGGUUGUAGCAAGAUUUGUGCUUACAUUUGUACUGUGGAUGUGUAGAAGCAACCACAUUGUUGGUACCUGAAGGCACACUCAACAAGAUUAUCGACCCUUUUAUUAUUUGGUUUGCACCUGACUAUCAUACAUUCCAUUGUUUGUUAGUCAUGGACUUCCUCCGUCCGGAAUUACUUGUUGGAGAAAUGGAUGUAUCUAGACAUAUUUUAGGUCUAGAUACAUCUAUUUUUAUCCAUUUUCGCAAGAAAUAAUUUCGGACGGAGGGAGUAGGUGACAAGUGAUGAUCUACUUACCAGAAGUCUACAAGUCGGUAUAUUUUUCUCUUCAACUCAUCACCUUGGUAUUUUUUGUGUGUUCUUCAAGUCUUGACGUGGAUGACAUCUAGGGGACUUGGUGGCUUUGUUUAAAAAUAUUCUGUAAAAAAAUAAAAGGAUAAUAAGAAAAUUCCAAAAAGGAGAACUAAUUAAAAGGAUUUUAUUUUUAUUUUCCCAUCCUCAUGGCCUUGCUAUCUUUCUAAUUAAUACGGAAGUUAGUUGCCCCCAACUCCAGGGAAUGGGUCAGCCAGUAUAGAAUUCCGGGAGGCAGAAUUUACAAGUUGGAUUUCUACCCAUGGAAGCGACGGGGAUACCCACUGGGAAUGAGACUACCUAAUGAUCCCUCGGUGUUCAAACUUGCUUGGUUCCAGUCUAUGAUACUUUGCUACCAGACUAGUCCUUGCUUCCAGUGAAAUUACCAAACUGGUCAUGUUCAGAUAAUAAUGGCAAACACAAUUAAUUAAGCUCAAGCAUAACCAAUUAUUUGGUCAUCACCAAUUUGGACAGAUGGGUAGAUUUUGGACACAGACAAACAUACCCUAGCCUUCGGAAACCAGCUGAACGGGCGGGUGUUGGUUGCAAACUGCAUGGCAGACAUGUUUCUUAAUUAAAUAAACUAGCUACAUAUCUCACAGCAAUAAAGUUCUCAGCUCUCUCAUCCUAUAUAAUUGAGUUUAUGCGCACUUGGAUCAGAUACUGUAGUUGCUUCUUUCAAUUUGCACCAGGUAUGGAAAAAUCAAUCAUUUUGCACCUAUGAGGCCACUCUAAUUUAGCACUUGGAACCAACUAAAAUGAAAACCAACCUGGAGCCACAUCCCAGUCCACAGCCAUAAGUUGCCGCCGUGGAAAGCACCUAGCCCCGAAUCCACAGCGCUGAGGGCGGGAGCAAACAAAGCAACCAAGGAGAGACAGGGAGAGAUGGCAUGUGCGGUGCUGACCAACAUGGCAGCCUGCAUGGCCCAAUUGUUUGGUUUUCCUCCUACUUGACGCAAAGUGAAUUUGGAAUGGCUCCACUAUAGCAAAGCGAUUGGUUUUCAUAUAGCUGGUGCAAAGUGAAUUUGGAAUGCUCCACUAUAGCAAAGCGAUUGGUUUUCAUAUAGCUGGUGCAAAGUGAAGAAGCAACGACAAUACCUGGUCCAAAAGUUCAAUAAACUCUCUACUUCGCGAGGUUCUCAUAAAUUACAUUCCCGAGCUCUCUCUUUCUCUUGUUAUCCAUCUUCCUUGUUAUUAAUAAUCCAGCGAAAAAACCACCUACUGUUGCAGCACAAAUCAUCCAUGUCCUCUGCACUUCCUUCGGGACAAACUCCCUACGAGCAUUCAAAGAGCUGGAAAGAUGCCAUAAUUAGCGUACCUUGCCCAAAAAAGGAACAACUGAAAAAUAGGUUUUAUGAGGAACACAUAUUAUAUAGAUGUAUAUACUUCUCAAUGAUGCGCGUAAGGAUAUCAUUACUCAAUGAGGAAACCUUGGUUGCUCGAACCACCUCAUACAGUGCAUCUAACUAUACAAAUACAAACGAAAUAGUUUGAUCAACAUUGAAACGUAAAAUCUUCAGAAGACAGGUAGGUAAGCUGAAGCAAGGAUUCGUAGUAAUUACCCAGUGUCUUUUGUUUGAUGUUUUUUGUCAUUUAAAGCUGAUUAUCCAUUUAUAAAUAAUUUUGUGUUCGGUGUUUUUUGGUAGCUGCCAUUAUCGUGUAGGCAUGUAUUUCUCUUAUGAGCCGGUUGUAGUAUUUAUCUUCAGGCUGUGUUAGCAUGGACUUCUUGGCUCGAUUUAGUACGCUGGUUCAUGUCGGUCAACUUAACUAAAGAACCCGAUUCUUUUUUAUGGCGGUAGCCUUCUUCUAGAGUUUCCUCGUAUGAUCUAUGUAUGUGGACCUCAUAAACACUGGGCCUCGGAGGCAACACAUUUGGAAACCUAAGGUGCCGCUCAAGAUUAAGAUCUUCAUGUGGUUUCUGCAUAGAGGGGUCAUCCUAAUUUGGCAAAACGUAGCAGAGGCAUAAAAAGUGUUGCUUUUCUGAUUACAAGAGGGAACAAAACAACAUCUCUUUCUUUUGUGUCCAUUUGCCUGCCUUCUUUGGUGUACGUUUCAUGUAGCUUUCAACUUACCUCCACCUAGUAGUGUAUUGAACUUGUUCGAGAACUGAUUGGGUGGGAUUCAUCCUAAGUGUAAGGCACACAUCCUUGUGGGAGUGUGCGCUUUUCUCUGGGCCAUAUAGAGAUGCCGUAAUGACCAUGUGUUAAUAGAACGAAGAUACCAAAUUUUCUGAAGGUCAAUUUCCAAGCUACAAGAUGGAUCUGUACGUGCUCCUUAAUUCAGUGUGCGGAAGCGCAAGAGUAUAUGUAAUUUGGGUGCAACCGAUGAGAGAAGGUAGCACGGGCUCAACCAAUUUGGAUGGCGAUCUAUUAAUGGGCUAUGUGUGUAGGCAUGUAUUUCUCUUAUCAGCCGGUUGUAGCAUUUAUCUUCAGGUUGUGUUUGCGUUGUAUCGGAUGACAUGACUUAUACCCUAUUUAUCUUUAAUAAAUAUAUGGUCGUGUGCAUCGCAAUGAUGCCGAGGCUGGGGGUUAAACCUCCAUUUUGAAAGAAAAAAAAGCUUAGAAGUAACCCAGUAUGGUACCACUAAAUAAUUUGAUUUCUUUAUCACUAGAAUCGAUACUCGACAAAUAUUAAACCAAUAUGCUCAGAAAUCAGAAUUGAGACUUUGCACACCGCUGAGCAAAAGAGCUAUACUCACUUAGACAAAUCUUUGAAGAUGCGUAGGGUAUGAUGACUCAACAAUUUUAUUUUUGCAAGCUAAGGCCUGAGAUUAGACAUAGCAACUGGUAAGUAAAACUUGGAGCACAUGACUGCAUUUACCUAUAAUUUAAUCACUGAUGGAGUUUGGCAAUUUCGUAAUGCAUUUAACGAACACUUGGGGCGCUAUCAAUUUCGCUGUUGUCAGCGGCUAUGCAGUUCCGAACAACAAAAAUAAGGAAAAAGUUCGGUUCAUUAUGAAGUGACCCAAAUAAAAUGCGCGUCCAGUUGAGUGUUAAACGAAUUAAACCUGAACGACGUAGGACGCAAAAAUCUCGCUUGAAGCUAGGCUAGGUUAGGGAAUCAAGAUUCCGCAGACUAGACAGCCAGAACCAGGGAGCGCCUUGCGGCAGAUAUCAAAGAGGAUCCAAGGGGCGAAAUUGGAAAAAUCACCUCGUCUAGUGGAGACUUGGGAGGCAAAUCAGCUCGAGUAGAGGAAUGCAGCCGACGGCUGUGUGAGGGCCGGAGCGCGACCGCUACUCCCUCUACUCCUGAAAGCCUAGCGGCGGCCGCCGCUGGGAUGGCACGGCGGAAGGCGGACCCGCGCAGCACCGUCGAUGUCAUCCCCCUCCUCUCUCUCUCUCUC
rnacentral:lncRNA from 1 species